rnacentral:rRNA from 1 species
UACGGAGGGUGCAAGCGUUAUCCGGAUUCACUGGGUUUAAAGGGUGCGUAGGAGGGCAGGUAAGUCCGUGGUGAAAUCUCCGAGCUUAACUCGGAAACUGCCGUGGAUACUACCGGUCUUGAAUAUCGUGGAGGUGAGCGGAAUAUGUCAUGUAGCGGUGAAAUGCUUAGAGAUGACAUAGAACACCCAUUGCGAAGGCAGCUCACUACCCGAAUAUUGACUCUGAGGCACGAAAGCGUGGGGAUCAAACAGG